ACCUUUGCGCAGUGGCAAUAUCGUAACCAAUGAAGUUUAUCCGAGGUGCGAUUAUUGCUAGUUGAAAAAAAACUUCCCGCUCGGAAAAUCUGGGUGUUAAUUGGCUGGGAAGUUAUUUAUUGAGCUGCGAGAAGUUGU